CCGCGAGAGGGAUGAUGUACUACUAUAGGGCUCUUGAGAUGCUUUCAUAUCUAGACGACGCUUCAGAGAUGGACAUAAGG
rfam:Eucalyptus grandis cultivar BRASTZ1 unplaced genomic scaffold scaffold_4, whole genome shotgun sequence.